AACGAACGCUGGCGGCAGGCUUAACACAUGCAAGUCGAGCGCCCCGCAAGGGGAGCGGCAGACGGGUGAGUAACGCGUGGGAAUCUACCCAUCUCUACGGAAUAACUCAGGGAAACUUGUGCUAAUACCGUAUACGCCCUUCGGGGGAAAGAUUUAUCGGAGAUGGAUGAGCCCGCGUUGGAUUAGCUAGUUGGUGGGGCAAUGGCCUACCAAGGCGACGAUCCAUAGCUGGUCUGAGAGGAUGAUCAGCCACACUGGGACUGAGACACGGCCCAGACUCCUACGGGAGGCAGCAGUGGGGAAUAUUGGACAAUGGGCGCAAGCCUGAUCCAGCCAUGCCGCGUGAGUGAUGAAGGCCCUAGGGUUGUAAAGCUCUUUCACCGGUGAAGAUAAUGACGGUAACCGGAGAAGAAGCCCCGGCUAACUUCGUGC
rnacentral:rRNA from 1 species